rnacentral:rRNA from 1 species
UACGGAGGGUGCAAGCGUUAAUCGGAAUUACUGGGGGUAAAGCGCACGCAGGUGGUUUGUCAAGUCGGAUGUGAAAUCCCCGGGCUCAACCCGGGAACUGCAUUCGAAACUGGCAGACUAGAGUCUUGUUGAGGGGGGUAGAAUUCCAGGUGUAGCGGUGAAAUGCGUAGAGAUCUGGAGGAAUACCGGUGGCGAAGGCGGCCACCUCGACAAAGACUGACGCUCAGGUGCGAAAGCGUGGGGAGCAAACAGG